rnacentral:rRNA from 1 species
GAGUGGCGAACUGGUGAGUAACACGUGGGAAACCUGCCCAGAAGCGGGGGAUAACACCUGGAAACAGAUGCUAAUACCGCAUAACAACUUGGACCGCAUGGUCCGAGUUUGAAAGAUGGCUUCGGCUAUCACUUUUGGAUGGUCCCGCGGCGUAUUAGCUAGAUGGUGGGGUAACGGCUCACCAUGGCAAUGAUACGUAGCCGACCUGAGAGGGUAAUCGGCCACAUUGGGACUGAGACACGGCCCAAACUCCUACGGGAGGCAGCAGUAGGGAAUCUUCCACAAUGGACGAAAGUCUGAUGGAGCAACGCCGCGUGAGUGAAGAAGGGUUUCGGCUCGUAAAACUCUGUUGUUAAAGAAGAACAUAUCUGAGAGUAACUGUUCAGGUAUUGACGGUAUUUAACCAGAAAGCCACGGCUAACUACGUGCCAGCAGCCGCGGUAAUACGUAGGUGGCAAGCGUUGUCCGGAUUUAUUGGGCGUAAAGCGAGCGCAGGCGGUUUUUUAAGUCUGAUGUGAAAGCCUUCGGCUCAACCGAAGAAGUGCAUCGGAAACUGGGAAACUUGAGUGCAGAAGAGGACAGUGGAACUCCAUGUGUAGCGGUGAAAUGCGUAGAUAUAUGGAAGAACACCAGUGGCGAAGGCGGCUGUCUGGUCUGUAACUGACGCUGAGGCUCGAAAGUAUGGGUAGCAAACAGGAUUAGAUACCCUGGUAGUCCAUACCGUAAACGAUGAAUGCUAAGUGUUGGAGGGUUUCCGCCCUUCAGUGCUGCAGCUAACGCAUUAAGCAUUCCGCCUGGGGAGUACGGCCGCAAGGCUGAAACUCAAAGGAAUUGACGGGGCCCGCACAAGCGGUGGAGCAUGUGGUUUAAUUCGAAGCUACGCGAAGAACCUUACCAGGUCUUGACAUACUAUGCAAAUCUAAGAGAUUAGACGUUCCCUUCGGGGACAUGGAUACAGGUGGUGCAUGGUUGUCGUCAGCUCGUGUCGUGAGAUGUUGGGUUAAGUCCCGCAACGAGCGCAACCCUUAUUAUCAGUUGCCAGCAUUAAGUUGGGCACUCUGGUGAGACUGCCGGUGACAAACCGGAGGAAGGUGGGGAUGACGUCAAAUCAUCAUGCCCCUUAUGACCUGGGCUACACACGUGCUACAAUGGAUGGUACAACGAGUUGCGAACUCGCGAGAGUAAGCUAAUCUCUUAAAGCCAUUCUCAGUUCGGAUUGUAGGCUGCAACUCGCCUACAUGAAGUCGGAAUCGCUAGUAAUCGCGGAUCAGCAUGCCGCGGUGAAUACGUUCCCGGGCCUUGUACACACCGCCCGUCACACCAUGAGAGUUUGUAACACCC